AUCCAGCUGACGAGUCCUAAAUAGGACGAAACGCGCGUCGUGGAU
rfam:Schistosoma rodhaini strain Burundi genome assembly, scaffold: SROB_scaffold0001970